GAUGAACGCUGGCGGCGUGCCUAAUACAUGCAAGUCGAGCGAAUGACGAGGAGCUUGCUCCUCUGAUUUAGCGGCGGACGGGUGAGUAACACGUGGGUAACCUGCCUGUAAGACGGGGAUAACUUCGGGAAACCGAAGCUAAUACCGGAUAAUAAAGAGAAACUCCUGUUUCUUUUUUGAAAGUCGGUUUCGGCUGACGCUUACAGAUGGGCCCGCGGCGCAUUAGCUAGUUGGUGAGGUAACGGCUCACCAAGGCCACGAUGCGUAGCCGACCUGAGAGGGUGAUCGGCCACACUGGGACUGAGACACGGCCCAGACUCCUACGGGAGGCAGCAGUAGGGAAUCUUCGGCAAUGGACGAAAGUCUGACCGAGCAACGCCGCGUGAGCGAUGAAGGCCUUCGGGUCGUAAAGCUCUGUUGUCAGAGAAGAACAAGUACCGGAGUAACUGCCGGUACCUUGACGGUACCUGACCAGAAAGCCACGGCUAACUACGUGCCAGCCGCCGCCGUAAAAC
rnacentral:rRNA from 1 species